rnacentral:lncRNA from 1 species
AAGGUAUUUUAGUGCUACUUGUCACUUAUAUCAAAUACUAGAUAAUAUUUGAACAUGUUGAGUGGUUUAUUAAUUAAUGAAAAAAACAAGGUUUGCUUUAUAGUAUUCUUUGAACUUAAAUAUUCAGUAACUGAGAGUAUGCUUAGAUCAGAACUUUGUGUUUUUGUCUUUUGAAAAGCAUUUUUGUUUAUUUGCAAUACAGAUCUCUUAGCUUUCUUUUGAUGUUUUAAGAUAAAUAUGGCCAUUGUUUUUUUUUUCUUUUUUUUACUUGUUUCAAAUUUUGUGCUUCCUGUUUUGUUUUAAGCUUACUAUCUGUAUGGGUUUUGCUCAUUGUUGCAGGCAGUAAUAUGACCUAUACUUGUAAAAGUCCUCUGUCCUUUUGAUCUCAAGUGGAUAGUUCAGACAAUCAAUUUAUACUACAUAUCUUUAUUUGUCUAGAAGACUAUUGAAUGUCUGGAAUAAGGAAGAAACCAUUAAAACAAUGAAAUAAAAUAUUACCAUAUAGUUUUACUAAAUAAAGGCAACCUGAGAGUAUCUACUUCAUCUGUUAAGUUCUCAAAAGAAU